rnacentral:tRNA from 2 species
GCCUGGCUAGCUCAAUCGGUAGAGCGUGAGACUCUUAUUGUAUCUCAAGGCUGUGGGUUCAAGCCCCACGUCGGGCU